rnacentral:lncRNA from 1 species
AUGAAUGGGGAAAUUGUUCCCAGCUUCGAUGGCUCAUGGAAGCCCUGCUCUCCCCACUCUCCUCAGGCAGCUUUGGGACCCAUACGUAUAAAUGAUAUAGAUCCAAGCGUCAGCCCACCCACAUGUCUCAGGGAAGAAGCAAACAAGCUCAGAUUUGCGUUUUUCAUAUUUUGCAACCAUUCCAUUAAAGGAGAAAGAAGAGCUGGCGGAACCUGCUCUUCCCUCCAGCCCCAGCGGGGUGAACUCAGCAUUGGUGGCGUGAAGAUCGGGGCUGAUCCUGGUUUGUCCCCGAGGGGGUCUACUUCAGGCACACAGCAACUCCAGUGCCUGGUCAUAUUACGAUGUUAUACUUUACAGACCAGCAAUCCAAGCAAAAGAUGGUUUUCUGUGUCCUGCAAAUAAAUGCUCAAUUCACAACUGCAAUGAGAGAUCGGUCUGCAGCAUCUCACUCCCUCCAUCUUCAUGUUCCUCUUCGUUGUUUUCUUCAAUCUUUUCUUAUAAGACUGUUUCUCAUUCUUAUCAUACACUAUAUGGCAAGUUCUUUGUAUACAUUAAAAGGUUUAAUUCUCAUAAAAC